rnacentral:rRNA from 1 species
CCGCCCGUCACACCAUGGGAGUCAGUUGCUCCAGAAGUGGCUGCGCCAACCCGCAAGGGAGGCAGGCCCUAAGGAGUGGCUGGUGACUGGGGUG